ACCAUAACUUUCCAAUUACGAGUACGAGAAUUGAAAGACAUGAAAAUUCUCAAUUCUCUACGGCGUCUAGUAGAUAGAAACAAGAAAAUCAGAAGAAUCUUUCUCUCUAUUCACUAUCAUUCCGCGUGA
rnacentral:rRNA from 1 species